rnacentral:misc_RNA from 1 species
GACGAAAUUAUGUUUUAUCUAGAGAUGGUAGAAAGAUACCAGUAUCUGAACUUGUUGGGAAGACAGUAGGCCUGUAUUUUGGAGCAUACUGGUGCCCUCCUAGCCGUGCCUUUACUGCCCAGCUAAUAGAAACCUACAAUGAGCUGGAAACCACAGGGGAUGGAUGCUUCGAAAUUAUAUUGGUGUCCACAGAUCGAGACCUUAUAGAAUUUAAUACCAACCUAGGUAACAUGCCAUGGCUUGCC